rnacentral:rRNA from 1 species
GAUGAACGCUGGCGGCGUGCCUAAUACAUGCAAGUCGAGCGAACAGACGAGGAGCUUGCUCCUCUGACGUUAGCGGCGGACGGGUGAGUAACACGUGGAUAACCUACCUAUAAGACUGGGAUAACUUCGGGAAACCGGAGCUAAUACCGGAUAAUAUAUUGAACCGCAUGGUUCAAUAAUGAAAUACGGUUUUUCUGUCACUUAUAGAUGGAUCCGCGCUGCAUUAGCUAGUUGGUAAGGUAACGGCUUACCAAGGCAACGAUGCGUAGCCGACCUGAGAGGGUGAUCGGCCACACUGGAACUGAGACACGGUCCAGACUCCUACGGGAGGCAGCAGUAGGGAAUCUUCCGCAAUGGGCGAAAGCCUGACGGAGCAACGCCGCGUGAGUGAUGAAGGUCUUCGGAUCGUAAAACUCUGUUAUUAGGGAAGAACAAAUGUGUAAGUAACUAUGCACGUCUUGACGGUACCUAAUCAGAAAGCCACGGCUAACUACGUG